AUUAACAAGCUAAAAACUAGAAGAAAAAAAUGAAAUCUUGAAAAUACAUAAAGAUUGAAUUUUGAACCAACAGAAGUUCUAAAGAUCACACAUUUAACCUUUGCUUUGACAAAUGCCAAGGAUUUAUAGUACAAAAACACCACCAAGAUAGUAAUUUUAAGUGAAAAAGUAAGCAAAAAACUGUAUGAAACAGGAAAAGUGAAAAGAAAAAAAAUGAAAACCCUAGAUUUGAAAAGAGAGAA
rnacentral:misc_RNA from 1 species